rnacentral:misc_RNA from 1 species
GCAAUAUUUAGACAACUUCUUGAGAGAUCAGGGAGGAUUUGCAACAACCUCAAAGCUAGUUCAAACUAGUGGAAGGUUGUCUGCAGGAAAGAGUAAAAAAUAAAAAAACAAAUAAACUAGCUAGAUAAUCUUUUGUAUCAAGAAAGAAGGAAAAUUCUUAGUUCAAAUAGCUUAUUAAUGGCUCGAGGAAAGGUUCAGAUGAAGCGCAUAGAGAAUCCGGUGCAUAGGCAGGUUACUUUCUGCAAGCGCCGAUCUGGGCUCCUUAAGAAGGCUAAGGAGCUCU